AUCAACUUUCGAUGGUAGGAUAGAGGCCUACCAUGGUAGUAACGGGUAACGGGGUGUUAGGGCACGACACCGGAGAGGGAGCCUGAGAAACGGCUACCACAUCCAAGGAUGGCAGCAGGCGCGCAAAUUACCCAAUCCCAACACGGGGAGGUAGUGACAAUAAAUAACAAUACGGGGUUCUUUUGGAUCUUGUAAUUGGAAUGAGUACAAUUUAAAUCUCUUAACGAGGAACAAUUGGAGGGCAAGUCUGGUGCCAGCAGCCGCGGUAAUUCCAGCUCCAAUAGCGUAUAUUAAAGUUGCUGCAGUUAAAAAGCUCGUAGUUGAAUUUCGGGAUCAAUUUGCUGGUCGUGCUAUGGUACGUACUGGUUUUGUUGGUUCCUCCUUUCCGAGGAGCUGCGAUGUCAUUAAUUUGGUGUCGCGUGUAAUCGGGACUGUUACUUUGAAAAAAUUAGAGUGUUUAAAGCAAGCUAACGCUUGAAUACAUUAGCAUGGAAUAAUGAAAUAGGACGAUUGGAUCCUAUUUUGUUGGUUUCUAGGAUCGACGUAAUGAUUAAUAGGGAUAGUUGGGGGCAUUAGUAUUCAAUUGUCAGAGGUGAAAUUCUUGGAUUUAUUGAAGACUAACUACUGCGAAAGCAUUUGCCAAGGAUGUUUUCAUUAAUCAAGAACGAAAGUUAGGGGAUCGAAGACGAUCAGAUACCGUCGUAGUCUUAACCAUAAACUAUGCCGACUAGGGAUCGGAUGAUANAUUUUUAAUAAAUCAUUCGGCGCCUUACGGGAAACCAAAGUGUUUGGGU
rnacentral:rRNA from 1 species